AUUUAUAUAGUUUAAUAAUAAAACAUUACAUUUUCAUUGUAAUAAUAAGAGUUAUCUUUAUAAAUU
rnacentral:tRNA from 1 species